GGCACAGAGACAUCAUCUAUGUCCUGUAGUUCUUUUCAAGCAACUGAGAAUCAAAAUCACUAUUCAAAGUCAAAUGAAGAAUCCGUCCUUUCUUCUAUCAAUUUAAGGACAGCAGUAUGCCAGCUAUCUCGAGAAGACAUGUCCUAUGCUGGAGACCUCGCUUCAUCAGAAUGUGGAAUGAAAAAACCUUCAACUUUGGGCCAUGAUAAUAUUAGUCUUCGUAGUGAUGAUGAAGGUGACGAACCAAAGGAAUCAGUUGUAGAAAGAGCAACAGAAAUUUCUCUUGCAAAGCACUCAGAAUUUUCUAAGAGGUCAUCUAGUUCUGAUGAUGACCCCUGCAAUGACAAUAAACAUUCAAUCUUAAUUGCGCCUGUGACUGAUGCUGCAGUGAUUAGUAAAAAUGAUGUUAGUUCUUCCCCUGAUCCUGAUGGACAAAGGAAUAAUUGUAUAUUCAAUCUUGUAAAAGUGAAGGAUGACCAGAUUCAACAUCGUAAAAUAGUUCUUGCAUCUAAUGCAGCAGACAGCUCUUGCCAUGCAGGCUGUACUAGUGCAGGAUGUGGUAAGAAUGUUCAACAGUCUUCAAACAUGAGAGAGACCAGUAAGGAUCAAAAUAUGGCAAUUGCUAGGUGUCCACAGCCACAGCAUUGUGGCAUUGCAAAUCCUAAUGAUGAGGAUAAGAUGGGAGCAAAGGAGCAAAUGCCACAUCAAAUCCAGUGGAUAACUCAAGAACUAUGGCAGGUAGCCCAUCUUGCUCACAAAAUAAUUUGGACCGAUAUUUCCGCCAGAAGGGUCCCCGAAUUGCCAAGGUAGUGCGAAGGAUUAACUGUAAUGCUGAGCCUCUGGCAUUCGGAGUUAUACAUCCUGGAAAAUUGUGGUGUAACAGCCAGGCGAUUUUUCCCAAAGGAUUUAGGAGCAGGGUUAGAUAUAUAAGUGUUUUAGAUCCAACAAAAAUAUGUUACUAUGUUUCAGAAAUUCUGGAUGCAGGGCGAGAUAGACCUCUGUUCAUGGUUUCCUUGGAGCAUUGUCCAACUGAGGUAUUCGUUCACCUUUCCGCAGCCAGAUGCUGGGAAAUGGUGAGAGAGAGAGUAAAUCAAGAGAUUACAAAGCAACAUAAAUUGGGAAGAAUGAACUUACCUCCUUUGCAACCUCCUGGAAGUCUUGAUGGCUUUGAAAUGUUUGGGUUUUCUUCACCAGCAAUUGUUCAGGCCAUAGAGGCAUUGGAUCGAAAUCGAGUUUGCUUAGGUUAUUGGGACUCCAGGCCCUACUCACGGCCUCAGGGUCAGAUUCCACAACCUUCUCAACCCGAAGAAAGUGGAGGCUACAUCCAGGGAGCAUCUGAGGAACAUAAUAGUGAAGGAACUCCAGGGAGUAAUCUCCUACCUGAGGGAGUUGAUACGAUACUCCAAGG
rnacentral:misc_RNA from 1 species